rfam:Caprimulgus carolinensis contig103622, whole genome shotgun sequence.
AUUCCUGGUUUUCACCCAGGCGGCCCGGGUUCGACUCCCGGUAUGGGAA